GGGGGUGCAGUUCAGUGGUGGAGAGUGUGCUUAGCAUGUAUCAGGCCUGGGUUCAAUCCCCAGAAUCCCCC
rnacentral:tRNA from 1 species